CAGGGGGAUAACCGGUGGAAACGCCGACUAAUACCCCAUAGCAUCAACUUUAGGCAUCUUAGUUGAUUAAAGAUUUCGGAUAAGGAUAGGCUCGCGUGACAUUAGCUAGAUGGCGGGGUAACGGCCCACCAUGGCGACGAUGUCUAGGGGUUCUGAGAGGAAGGUCCCCCACACUGGAACUGAGACACGGUCCAGACUCCUACGGGAGGCAGCAGUGAGGAAUAUUGGUCAAUGGCCGAGAGGCUGAACCAGCCAUGCCGCGUGAAGGAAGAAUGUCCUAUGGAUUGUAAACUUCUUUUGUAAGGGGAGCAAUAAGUUCCAUGCGUGGGAUGAUGAGAGUACCUUACGAAUAAGCAUCGGCUAACUCCGUG
rnacentral:rRNA from 1 species